CGCCACAAGUCUCCUCUACACUGUGCUGCUGGCAAACAUGUCUCAAAGAAUUCGUCGAUCAAACAUGUGUUUAUGUUGUGAUGAACCGUUGACUUUCACCGACUGAAGAUCUUAUAUUUUUAAUUUGGACUAUGGAAUUUGUCAUGUUUUCCAUUUGGCCCGUGGCAAGUGUGCAUAUACCGUUGAUUAUAUGAGCCUAUUUGUUGUUAUCUGUAAUUUAAUUAUACCUUUGUUCCAAGUACAUUUCUUCUAUAAGCUUUUGAAGUGAUAAAAA
rnacentral:lncRNA from 1 species